AUAAAGAUAAGCUAAUAAAGCUAGUGGGUUCAUACCUCAUUUAUGAAAGUUACAAUCUUUCUCUUUUUA
rnacentral:tRNA from 2 species